UACGGAGGAUGCGAGCGUUAUCCGGAUUUAUUGGGUUUAAAGGGAGCGCAGGCUGCGAGGCAAGUCAGCGGUCAAAUGUCGGGGCUCAACCCCGGCCUGCCGUUGAAACUGUCCUGCUAGAGUUCGAGUGAGGUAUGCGGAAUGCGUUGUGUAGCGGUGAAAUGCAUAGAUAUGACGCAGAACUCCGAUUGCGAAGGCAGCAUACCAACUCGCGACUGACGCUGAGGCUCGAAAGCGUGGGUAUCGAACAGG
rnacentral:rRNA from 1 species